UGGCCAGGAGAACUUCUGCAAGUUUUUUUCUGUGGUCAUCAUGCCCAGACACACUAAGCAGUAGAUCUGUCACCAGUGACAGGGAAACAGCUUGUAUGAAUGUGACAUUACUGCCCAGACCUGUGACUGCAGCAGAGACCAGGCCUAUCAUGCAGUGAAAUUGCAGAAAAAAAGUAAAUAAUGUGAACUAUGUAUGAGUAGGCACCACCUGGAAUGGAAUUUCCCUGUGUCUGCAUACAAAACUCCAAAGUUAAGAAGACAGCCAG